GCCGGAUAGCUCAGUUGGUGAGAGCGUGGUGCUGAUAAUGCCAAGGUUGCAGGUUUGAUCCCUGUAUGGGACAGCUGCA
rnacentral:tRNA from 1 species